CGCGUAGGCGGCUUAGUAAGUCGGAUGUGAAAGCCUCGGGCUUAACCUGGGAACUGCAUUCGAUACUGCUGGGCUAGAGUAUGGAAGAGGGAAGUGGAAUUCCGGGUGUAGCGGUGAAAUGCGUAGAUAUCCGGAGGAACACCAGUGGCGAAGGCGACUUCCUGGGCCAAUACUGACGCUGAGGUGCGAAAGCGUGGGGAGCAAACA
rnacentral:rRNA from 1 species